GACGAACGCUGGCGGCGUGCUUAACACAUGCAAGUCGAACGGUAAGGCUCCAGCUUGCUGGGGUACACGAGUGGCGAACGGGUGAGUAACACGUGGGUGACCUGCCCUGCACUUCGGGAUAAGCCUGGGAAACUGGGUCUAAUACCGGAUAGGACCGCACCGUGAGGGUGUGGUGGAAAGUUUUUUCGGUGUGGGAUGGGCCCGCGGCCUAUCAGCUUGUUGGUGGGGUAAUGGCCUACCAAGGCGGCGACGGGUAGCCGGCCUGAGAGGGUGGACGGCCACAUUGGGACUGAGACACGGCCCAGACUCCUACGGGAGGCAGCAGUGGGGAAUAUUGCACAAUGGGCGGAAGCCUGAUGCAGCGACGCCGCGUGGGGGAUGACGGCCUUCGGGUUGUAAACUCCUUUCACCAUCGACGAAGGGUUUCUGACGGUAGAUGGAGAAGAAGCACCGGCUAACUACGUGCCAGCAGCCGCGGUAAUACGUAGGGUGCGAGCGUUGUCCGGAAUUACUGGGCGUAAAGAGCUCGUAGGUGGUUUGUCGCGUCGUCUGUGAAAUUCCGGGGCUUAACUCCGGGCGUGCAGGCGAUACGGGCAUAACUUGAGUACUGUAGGGGAGACUGGAAUUCCUGGUGUAGCGGUGAAAUGCGCAGAUAUCAGGAGGAACACCGGUGGCGAAGGCGGGUCCCUGGGCAGUAACUGACGCUGAGGAGCGAAAGCAUGGGGAGCGAACAGGAUUAGAUACCCUGGUAGUCCAUGCCGUAAACGGUGGGCGCUAGGUGUGGGUUUCCUUCCACGGGAUCCGUGCCGUAGCUAACGCAUUAAGCGCCCCGCCUGGGGAGUACGGCCGCAAGGCUAAAACUCAAAGGAAUUGACGGGGGCCCGCACAAGCGGCGGAGCAUGUGGAUUAAUUCGAUGCAACGCGAAGAACCUUACCUGGGCUUGACAUAUACAGGAUCGCGCCAGAGAUGGUGUUUCCCUUGUGGCUUGUAUACAGGUGGUGCAUGGUUGUCGUCAGCUCGUGUCGUGAGAUGUUGGGUUAAGUCCCGCAACGAGCGCAACCCUUGUCUUAUGUUGCCAGCACGUUGUGGUGGGGACUCGUAAGAAACUGCCGGGGUUAACCCGGAGGAAGGUGGGGAUGACGUCAAAUCAUCAUGCCCCUUAUGUCCAGGGCUUCACACAUGCUACAAUGGUCGGUACAGUGGGUUGCCAGUCCGUGAGGGCGAGCUAAUCCCGCAAAGCCGGUCUCAGUUCGGAUCGGGGUCUGCAACUCGACCCCGUGAAGUCGGAGUCGCUAGUAAUCGCAGAUCAGCAACGCUGCGGUGAAUACGUUCCCGGGCCU
rnacentral:rRNA from 1 species